CCUGGCUCAGGACGAACGCUGGCGGCGUGCCUAAUACAUGCAAGUAGCACGCUGAAGCUUGGUGCUUGCACCGAGCGGAUGAGUUGCGAACGGGUGAGUAACGCGUAGGUAACCUGCCUGGUAGCGGGGGAUAACUAUUGGAAACGAUAGCGAAUACCGCAUAACAGUAGAUACCGCAUGAUAUGUGCUUAAAAGGUGCAGUUGCACCACUACCAGAUGGACCUGCGUUGUAUUAGCUAGUUGGUGAGGUAACGGCUCACCAAGGCGACGAUACAUAGCCGACCUGAGAGGGUGAUCGGCCAGACUGGGACUGAGACACGGCCCAGACUCCUACGG
rnacentral:rRNA from 1 species